rnacentral:misc_RNA from 1 species
GAUGAAGAACGCAGUGAAAUGCGAUAAUUAAUGUGAAUUGCAGAAUUCAGUGAAUCAUCGAGUCUUUGAACGCACCUUGCGCUCCUUGGUAUUCCGAGGAGCAUGCCUGUUUGAGUGUCAUUAAAUUCUCAACCUCACCUGGUUUCUGACUUGUGUGAUGGCUUGGAUUUGGGAGUUGUGCAGGCUGUAGUUAUCUGCGGCUCUGCUCUCCUUAAAUGUAUUAGCAGGUCUUUUACCUCUAUCCCAACAGUGUGAUAAUCUAUCUACGCUGCUGGUUUGGAGACCCACUUGUGGGGGACUGGCUUCUAAUCGUCUGCAAAGACAACUUGACAUUCUUGACCUCAAAUCAGGUAGGACUACCCGCUGAACUUAAGCAUAUCAAUAAGCGGAGGA